rnacentral:snRNA from 1 species
AUCUUUGCGCUUGGGGCAAUGAUGCAGCUAGUGAGGUUCUAACCGGACGUGUCUAUUGUUGAUUGAAAACAACAUGUCAUUUUCGUUCGUAUAAAAAGGGAGGAGUCGAUUGGAAAACGUAAAAUUAUG